GACGAACGCUGGCGGCGUGCUUAACACGUGCAAGUCGAACGGAAAGGCCCUGCUUGCAGGGUACUCGAGUGGCGAACGGGUGAGUAACACGUGGGUGAUCUGCCCUGCACUUCGGGAUAAGCCUGGGAAACUGGGUCUAAUACCGGAUAGGAGCCAUUUUUAGUGUGAUGGUUGGAAAGUUUUUUCGGUGUAGGAUGAGCUCGCGGCCUAUCAGCUUGUUGGUGGGGUAAUGGCCUACCAAGGCGGCGACGGGUAGCCGGCCUGAGAGGGUGGACGGCCACAUUGGGACUGAGAUACGGCCCAGACUCCUACGGGAGGCAGCAGUGGGGAAUAUUGCACAAUGGGCGCAAGCCUGAUGCAGCGACGCCGCGUGGGGGAUGACGGCCUUCGGGUUGUAAACUCCUUUCGCUAGGGACGAAGCUUUUUGUGACGGUACCUAGAUAAGAAGCACCGGCUAACUACGUG
rnacentral:rRNA from 1 species